UUCAGAAGCCUAUCCCGAAGGUUCUCUUCAUCUUCUGUGAAUCAAUAUAUCUCCACAAAAUUUGCCUUCAAGGCUUCGAAUAAAAACAAUUUUCCUUCACAUCCUCGUCCCGAUGUACUUCACGAGGCGACUUCUCCCUAGCGGCGUCAGUAUAUGAAGAUGUGGCAGCGGCUUGAGGGAAUCAGGCGGCGGAGGCCUGGGGACGACAGGGCGGUUCCCUCACCUCACAGAAAAUCGAGUGUGCUCUUCCUCCCUCCCCUCUCGAGACUUGUGGCAGCUAUGGAGAGUGGGCACACAUCAGCACCGAAUGGAGGGCUUUAGCACUGGAUCGAGGUGAGUCCAUCUCCAGCUCUCUGUCUAUAUCUAGAUCCCUCUGGAUGGUCUGUGUGCUCCGCGCCGGCCAUGUCUGCGACCGGGAACGAACAAUAAAACCUAGGUGGAUGUGAAUGGAUGGUUGGAGGCCUUCGCCGCCCACCCACACAUCGGCACCACCUCCAGUGUCGUCUCCAACUCUGUUUCCUGUCGAUUAGUUAUUCUGUCUGUUGGUAUCAGUCAGUUCAUUACUUCAUCAUCAGGCCAUCAGUCAUCACUACAGAUGGAGCAUUCAUCUGUACUUUCCACAGCCGCUGAUACCACCGCGCAGGAAUUGUCAUAAUGGAAUGCGAAAUACUGGGACAAGUUUGCGUUUAUCUUCAUGAUAUAUGAGUCCAGGAGGACCGCCCGUGAGGUCUUAUCCGAGCUGAAGUUCUGCAUAUGUCCAUUCCAUUAGUUGAUUUCUGUAAUUGACGACAAGUAUGCCUGUUUGGGUUGUCAUCUCAACAAUCCUUCCAACAGUAUUUGGAUAUGCUCUCCUUAAAUUCCAAUAUGUGGUUUCUAUAAUUGACAUGUAUGCCUGUUUGGAUCAUCUCAACAAUCCUUGCAGCAGUAAUGAGUUUUUUCUUGGU